rnacentral:lncRNA from 1 species
GCCACGGGGUCCAGGCCAGAGGUCCAAACAUGGCCUUGCUUUCCAUUUCUUUCUCCAAGACAAACACACACACACACACGCGCGCACAAACACACACACACACACACACACACACAUACUUUUUUCUUUCACCUUGAGUUUGUUCCACUCCCUUGGGGGAAAGCAGAAGAGAAAAGGACAUUUCCAGAAGACAGAAGGCAGAUCCACUCCACUCUUUACCUAUCAGCCAGGCAGUUAAUCAAUGUGAUUAUCCUUGAGAGAGAUGGAUCUGAGAGAGAGAGAAAGAGAGUCUAAGAAACAUUCGAGUGACAUGUAUCUCCAGCUAAAGAGAAAACUGCUUUUAACCGGAACAACGGAACAACUUCUCCAUCAUUCCCACUGGCAGGACGAGGGACACUUUUCAGUUGGUGCUGAUGGGAGAUUUCAGAGCCCUUGUCCUCUGUCAUCUUCAGAAAACAUCCACAUGAUGCCGCCUGAUGAGAACAUGCUGUCCAACUGCAUCUGCUGUCCUGCCAUUUUAAAAAAUGGAUGUCUCAUUCCAGCAAAACAAUGGGGACAAUUCCCAAGAAUUUAAUCUACGUGUCGCCCCUCUGUUCUCCCAGCCAACACAAGAUUAUCAAUAAUCUCAUAUUUUCACACAGAUUACACAUUACAGGCAGCAGCAGCCUUGAGCUGAGCUAUAGACUUGGAUCCCAUCAGUGGGGGGCAUUAGUCUGGAUCCCACCAUAUUGUGAAAUUGAUCUUGUAUCUGAAAGCCAGGAUUGCUCCUCUGACAGCCGCUGUACACUGGGUUUCAUUUAAACACACUCCGUGUCAUCCAAACACCUUGAAUGUGACAGCACUGGGAGAAGAAAGACAUGCAGCAUGGAAGCGUUUUACCUCAAAUUUCUGUCCGAACUGCAUAAAAAAUGUGUGUAGAAAUGUUUUACUUUUCCUUUGAUGUGACUGGAACAUGUAAAACCAAAUAUAAGACAUUUUUAAAAGUGUGUCAUUCAAGCAAAUGGUUUUGUGAAAGAGGAAUGGACAAUUAAUCAGUCAUAGUGUUGUGUGAUCAUCUGGGUUGUUCUGGAAUUGACUGAACACAAUGGAGAGAGCACAGACUGUCUGAUCCUGUCAGAUGUUCAUCUAAAUGCAUUCUUUUCACAAUGUUCUCAGCUUGAAUCCGCUCAAAUAAAUGUCUCCUCUGCCCUCGCUUUCACACCAGAACUUUUAGUUCUCACAUUGGUACACUUGACAUAUUCAUCAUAUUGUUUUUAAUUCACCAAACAUUGGUUCUCUCUUUUUUCCCCUUUUUCCUGGUCUACUGCACAAUGCUUAUUCUUCCCGAGUUGAUCAGAGGAAACAAUUAAUCUCUCAAGUGAAAGUUUUCUAUUAAAUAAUAAAGAAUAAAUAAUAUUAGAAUAUCAGUUUUGACAGAUUUUAAUUAUC